rnacentral:misc_RNA from 1 species
UCUGUCGCAUGUCCUGUGGAGUGUGCAGAUGUUAUUGCUAUUAUUACCGUUAUUCGCAACUGUCAACGCGUAUUAUUACCUUUGCUAUCAUUACCAAAUCCUGGAGGCAGAAUGCUAAAUCGACCAGCAAAUACCCAUCAGUCCAACAUUCUCGCCGUUCUCUGCGAAGGGAUCGAGACCGACUUCGAGACGUCCUCGUGUGCGUAUCCCUGCGCCUAAGGAACGGCCUCGUCUUCGGCUUCUCGCGCACCCCACAGACUUCCGGUCCAGCGAACGGCACGGCGCCUCCGUCUUCCGCAAGAAUGGAGUCGAUAUCAUCAUUUUUUUUUUUUUUUCAGUUUUUCAUGAGAUUAAAUGCAUCUAUUUUUCUUAAAGAUAUUAGUUCGUUUUAUAUUUCUAAUAAAGAUAUAAUCGCA